rnacentral:rRNA from 1 species
CACGGCCUAUCAGCUUGUUGGUGAGGUAACGGCUCACCAAGGCAUCGACGGGUAGCUGGUCUGAGAGGAUGAUCAGCCACACUGGGACUGAGACACGGCCCAGACUCCUACGGGAGGCAGCAGUAGGGAAUCUUGCACAAUGGGCGAAAGCCUGAUGCAGCAACGCCGCGUGCGGGAAGAAAGCCUUAGGGUUGUAAACCGCUUUCAGCAGGGAAGAAGAUGACGGUACCUGUAGAAGAAGGUGCGGCCAACUACGUGCCAGCAGCCGCGGUGACGCGUAGGCACCAAGCGUUGUCCGGAUUUAUUGGGCGUAAAGAGCUCGUAGGCGGUUCGGUAAGUCGGGUGUGAAAACUCUGGGCUCAACCCAGAGCCGCCACCCGAUACUGCUGUGACUCGAGUGCGGUAGGGGAGCGGGGAAUUCCUGGUGUAGCGGUGAAAUGCGCAGAUAUCAGGAGGAACACCAGUGGCGAAGGCGCCGCUCUGGGCCGUGACUGACGCUGAGGAGCGAAAGCGUGGGUAGCAAACAGGAUUAGAUACCCUGGUAGUCCACGCCGUAAACGUUGGGCACUAGGUGUGGGUCUCAACCAACGAGAUCCGCGCCGUCGCUAACGCAUUAAGUGCCCCGCCUGGGGAGUACGG